rnacentral:lncRNA from 1 species
CAGCAUCUCUACAUGCAAAUGCCAUCAAAAGGACUUUUUCAAGGCUUGUAAUGAGGUUGGGCUAACAAGAAAAAAUGGUUUUUCUAGAAUGCAAAAUCCUUGAGUCAAGAGAGCUAACACAAUAUUCAACAUUUAAGCACAACUCUCUCACCAAUAUCUCUCAUUCCCAACUUCUUCCCUUUUCUUUUCUUUUUCAUUGAGCUCAUUUUCAUGCUUUUCUUCUUUUCUUUUCUUUUUCUCAUGAAUUUUUUUUUCACAACAUUUGAACUCAAUGCUUUUCACUUGCUUUUUCAAUUUUCCCCCGUACAACCCCAAACUUGAACCUUUUCAUCACAUACAAUUAAGCUCCUCCCAACUCAA